rnacentral:misc_RNA from 1 species
CUCAUUUCGUACCGAUAACAUGGUUCGCGUUGCGUCAGGUUUGUAACGUAUUGUAACGUAUUGGCGGCAUCGGUUUUUUAUUACUGCAGUAAUUUAAUCCAAUUAAAUAAUCACACGUGAAACUAAUAAAAUUUUAUCAAACAAUUUUGUUCACGACAUUAGAGUUCUUGUUCGCCGAAUGUAAUUUUAGCGGUCGCAGUAAUGUGAUCUUGUCUUACGUUCUUUUGAAUAUUCGUUUUCGGUAUUAGAGUCAGUGCAUCUUUCAAGAGGACAAAGCUUCUGCAGGAGUUCAAGAAUACAUAUCACUGCUUCAACUUCUUCAUCUUCUUUAGGAAUGUUCUAACAGUGGUUCACAAGCCAAAUGUAUUAGUGUUAUUCCAUUUCUACUAUUGUGAUACACCAUUUCUACUAUUGGCCUUUCAACGGUUCCUGUCUGAUGUUAGUCUUUCGGAUGAUAUUUGCUGGGAUAGCGCAGCAUCCACGGUAACGUCCCCUGUUUCUCUGCUUCGAACGGAUGGACGUAACGGGUUAAACGUAACGCACGAAAAACAAGUCUGUGUAGCACGGCUGAUCGGCCCUGACCGUUGGGAGCAUGCUAUUCCGCUUCAUAUCCGGUCAGUACCAUCAGCAUUGAUGCCUCCAAACUGGAUUUAUAUGCCAAGGGUUUUGGAUGGCGGCCAAAUUGGCUGCACCUGAUUCCGAUCGACGUACUUCGGGCAUUACGCUAUCUUAUGUGGCACUGGGGCUGGUCUCGUGUUACCUUGGACGACCAAAUUUGACCGUUUGAUUUUUUGAGAUCCGUGUAAUUCGAAUCAUCGUCAAAUUAUUGCAAAAUAGAGAUUGUAAGAGAAUAGUGAAAGUAAUACGAGACUUCGUUGGGCCAUUUAUGAAAUGUUAUUAUAACUGGUAAACGCCUGAUAAACAGGAAAUCGUUUAAAACGGGCCAGGCGCCGAUUCUCUUUUUACGGAUCUUUCCACGGAUAGUAAAUGCGUAACACGUUCGUUUAUACGUUUAAGCGAUCGAUCAGCGUAAUUUUUUGAGAUCCAUAAUUAAAUGGAGGCAAACGUUUACGUUGCUGCGAUAAUUAACAGCCGAUUCGUUGAUCCUUGAGAAAGCUGUAGCAAGUAGCAGCAUUAACUCCAAUGUCAAUCCAUGGGAUACUUGGUGAUGUUACGCUGCUAGUAGCUUGUUGCGCGUUUAUAAUGCUUGACGCGAUAUCCUACGUAGGAUCGUAUGCGUAAUAUAAUUAAUUAAGCGCAAGUUACCGAAACUUUUUAGACGUAAGUGGUACUCGAAAGCUUAUUGUCCUCUCCGAAUCGACGUGCUCGAAAUCUACGAGCGAAAUCAUUAGGGGAAUUGCAUAGAAUUGUUAAUCUCUGUAGUAGGAAACAGAUAUAAUACAUGUUUGAUUGGUAAGAUCGAUCGGUAAGAUGGGGAUGUUUAAUUUGAAGUGAUGUUAUAUUUCCUUAAGUGAAAAGGGUUUUUAUUCGUUUAAUAGAUAGAUAUUUUUUGUUUUUUUUUUUUGUUGGGGAUAUAUUUAUAUUUAAAAAUUUCGAGAUUUUAUUUAAUCGUAUUAUAGUAAAAAUAUACAAAAGAAAAUAUGGAAGAUAUAUGAAAUUUCCCCUUUUCAGUUUUCAAGUAUUUGUAUACACCGAAGUUUUUAUUUCGAUAAAUAUUUAUUUAUAUCUCGAUGC